UCGGAUAUGGUAUAACGGCCAACACUGCCGCCUCGUAUCGCGGCACACCGGGGUUCGAUUCCCCGUAUCUGAA
rnacentral:tRNA from 1 species